rnacentral:rRNA from 1 species
UACGUAGGGUGCGAGCGUUAAUCGGAAUUACUGGGCGUAAAGCGUGCGCAGGCGGUUCGCUAAGGCCGAUGUGAAAUCCCCGGGCUUAACCUGGGAACUGCAUUGGUAACUGGCGGGCUGGAGUGUGGCAGAGGGGGGUGGAAUUCCGCGUGUAGCAGUGAAAUGCGUAGAGAUGCGGAGGAACACCGAUGGCGAAGGCAGCCCCCUGGGCUAACACUGACGCUCAGGCACGAAAGCGUGGGGAGCAAACAGG